rnacentral:tRNA from 1 species
GCCAGGUUGGUGUAGUGGUAACACGUCCGAAAGAACAAUUGAAGACCACGGGUUCGAUGCCCUGCGGCUGUACCAAUGUACACCUCAGAACAUCCGGGUGCCUUCACACCCUGUGAGAAUAUUCCACCUCCACAGAACGGCAAAGAAGAAGACCCAGGUUCGAUUCCUGGACCAGGCA